rnacentral:tRNA from 1 species
GGGGUUGUAGCUCAGUUGGGAGAGCGUCUGCUCGGCAUGCAGAAGGUCAGGGGUUCGAAUCCCCUCAGCUCCACCA